rnacentral:rRNA from 1 species
UACGGAGGGUGCGAGCGUUGUCCGGAAUCACUGGGCGUAAAGGGCGCGUAGGCGGCGCGGGCAGUCAACGGUGAAAGCUCGGAGCUCAACUCCGAGUCGGCCGUCGAUACUCCCGUGCUUGAGCACUGUAGAGGCAGGUGGAAUUCCGGGUGUGAGCGGUGGAAUGCGUAGAGGAUCCGGAAGAACACCGGUGGCGAAGGCGGCCUGCUGGGCAGUAGCUGACGCUGAGGCGCGACAGCGUGGGGAGCAAACAGG